ensembl:lncRNA
AAAGACUAUUAGAGUUUGCACAUUUACCAACAAAGCAAGUAGGAAAAUUACUGUAACAAAAUUCUUUUCAAGAAAAACAUGCUAGACAAGGACUGAAUUCAUAGUAAUUUUUAUUUUUUUCAGAAUUACUUAUGAAAUGAUUAUGUAAUUUACAUGUAUUUUAGAAGUGAGAUAAAAUGAAGGAUUUUCUUAAAAAAAAAUGUUUGUAAUGUAAUGAAAAAAGACCUGUGAUUAGUGUAAGUGUAAUAUCAAACACAAGGGUGGAAAUGGUCUUGCCUUUAAUGUAACAUUUUUUCCAGGUCUAACACUCCCUCUGGAAGAACAUUAAAAGACAAUGAGAAUUCAAAGGAUGCUCAUGAAAUUAUUUUAAUUCAGAGUAGCUCAGAAUUUCUUUCCAUAAAAGAGGAGGCUGAAAAGUGAUAUAUGUGUUAUGGGAGGGUUUUUCAAAACUACUGGUAAAGACAUAAAAUCCAGUUGCUGGAAGAAGAAGUUAAAGCAGUUUAAGCUUAAAAUAAUGUAGUGUUUCUUAGCAGUGUAUGAGUAGCAGUCCAGCAAAAUAGCAAACAUCGAGGGAGAUGAUACUGCUCACCAUUAGUGAUGUUGAAACAAAAUUUGUACUAAAAAGCAAUUACUAAUGUUCUUCAUACUUGCAUUUGCUGGAGGAUAUCUAGAGAAGAGAAGGAAGGGAUGGAAGGGUGAGUUGUUGAUGUAGUUGCUUUGCUAUUAAAAUCUGUGUUUUCAGCUACUAGCUCCAUGGGUGUUAACAAGAACCAGAUCACCUGUAUAGCAUUCAACAUGCCAAUAAUACUUCAAUUAAAGGUAGCAGUUGCUAUUAAACCUUGUUCUCUAAAGCUUAAUAAUGAUUACCCCCUCCAACUUUAGAUGCCAAGAAGCUAGCAUAAAUCAGUUGACAUCUUGUUUUAUUUUUGUUGUUUUCUUUUUCUCUAGAGAAAGAAAUAAUAGCUAAUGUCAAAAGUGAGAUAAUUAACAGCAUAAUCCUGUGUAUUGAGUUGUUACAGAUAAUUUUGAUUUUUGGAUGCCUAGAUAGUUUUAAAUGAUUGCUGAUCACCUGAUUUAGGGCUAUAAAGGCCAAGAUGUUUCCAAACAUCUUAACUUAUAUCAUUGAUCUUUGGGAGGCCAUCUGGGUACACUACUUGUCCCACACAUGCCCGUUGCUUGCCUCUUAAGACAUGAGGUACACUGCAAUCAUCUAUUACAUUGGUGUAGCAUUGCUGAGUCCACCAACUAAUGAAAUGACUUUGUGAACUUGUUUGUAUAUAAUGCAAGUUUUCUAGAUGAAACUGGAUGAUUUGUAGUGUUCAGAAAGUCCAGGUACAAUAAUUCUGAAAUUCCAGGCUAACUGGAAUCAAGGCAUAAGAAAGUAUAUAGUUGGCUUCCUCUAAAUUGUUGAAGAAUAAAAUUUUAAAAGUCCAAAUCUUCUCUUGUCAUGGAUUGACAUUACUGUCUUCUUCUACUUUGUUAUUCCUUUGCUAGGCUUGUGCAGACUUACUGAAAAGAACAGUGGUACUCUGGAUUCCAUGGCACCUCCUUUGCAAGUUUCAGUUCCUGGAAUUAAAUAAGUUUUCAAGGUACUAAAGAUCUUAUAGACCUAGUAUGCAAAAAUUACCAACAGUAUAUGACUUUUGCUUUUGACUACCUGGGAACUAUGAGAGAGAUAAUACUGGACUAAAUGGAUCUGGGAGGGCAAUAUGUACAGUCCUCUCUCACAUACAAAGACUAGCAUCAACAGUAAUUUAGACUAACAUCAUUAGUAAUUUAGCAUGACAGUAACUUAGACUCUUCAGCUGUGAUAUUUGAAGAGUUUAAGCUCCUCUUCCCUGAUGAGAUUUGACAAGAAAUUAAUGGGCUGGCUGAAUGGAUUCUGCUAAAUGGUAGUAUUCAUCAUUCCCUUUCCUCAAUAUUUUUUUUCUUCUUCUCUUAAAUCUCUGUGCAUGCACAGUGUGAUAUACAGGAGCAGAUAGGUCUAUUUCCAGGUAAAUGUCAAGUCCUGCGAUGAAAGAUACUGGAAAGGACAGUGAUGGGUUGUAUGAAAGAGACCAACCACACUUGGAAAUCAAUAUUUGUCUUUCUCCUUUCCUAGUACCAGAGAUCAGUAGCAGAAGGAGGGAAAGAGCUGCAAAGUGACCGUGCAGAACACAUGCAAUUACAAGCAAGAGGUAAAGAUCUCUGGAGAUGAGAAAAUCGGUGCCAGUGUCUCUACUGAGACUAGAAUUUGAGUUUAUUUUUGAAGACAUUACUCCUGCACUCAUUGGGGUUAUUAUUUCACCAUAGCAGUCAAGACCAUGCUGCCUGACUUGGUGCUGUUCUAGGAAGUAUUAUAUUCUUACUGCAUUUCUCUCUUUAGCCUGGUAAUUAGUUCACAUCCUGAAAGAACAUCUAAAUUUUUGCACUGCAUUUUGUCAGUGCUGCCUAUGGCAUGAGUGAGAAUCUGAGAGUCUCAGUCUAUUGAAACAGCCACUGCAGGCUCCCAGCUCCAUGUCAUCUGUUUAAUCCACUACAGUGUGACAAUCCCAUCAGCCAUGAUCUAGCAAAAGAAGGCCUCUGCAAUCCUGUAAUAAUAGGAAAAUUAACAAUGGCAUGACCAUUCCUGUUUGGACUCAGAUGGCUACUUAAGCAUGAAGAGGUAGUUUCCAUUCAUUUUAAACAAAUUAAUACUGUAGCACUUUUAAAUUUAUGUGCUGGGUGACCUCUCAGAUUAAUACAUUUAUGUAUAAAUGAGACAGGGUUUACUUAUGAACCAGUACCUCUUGGCUGUUAAACCUGUAUGAAUGUAAAUUACACAAUUAAAAAAUACACUGAUCAAAACAUGCAAGUACGCGUGUGUUAGCAGAAAAAAAUGAAGCUGGGAAAGAAUGCGGGUUGUGUUUUUUUUCCUUUUUUCUUUUUUUCUUUUUUUUUUUUUUUUAUGUGAAUGAAGCAUAUAGUAGAACCUUCCAUCUGGCAAAAGCAAUGCAUUUAAAGGACUGUAAAAAGGUAACAGCUUAAACUUUUGUUUGAAUUCCAGACCACUGAGAAGUGAAAUAAGUUUCCACAUGAGUUGAAGAAGAAAAAUGAAGAGACACAAGAGUGGUUACUGUCACUGAUUUCAAUAAUUGGCCCCAUUUCUAAUACUGUAAUCUCCUCCUAUGUAGAGUAGUAGAUAAUAAGUUACUGUAUAAUGCAGCUGAAUUUUAGCAAAGAUUUGGCAACGUAAUGGAGAAUUUAUUUAUGUAUUUAUUUCAUUGCUACUUACAUGAAGAGGUAUGCAUUAAUCUUAACAGUACUGAAGUCAAAAUGAAUUAUGCCAUAACAUUAAAGCUCUGAAGUUUCACUGUGUUACUAAUUAGCAAUAUAUUUAAUUAUUAACUAGCAAUGGGUACAUUAGUCUCUUUAAAAGAAUGUAUUUACAGUCUUUGAUUUGGCACUACAUGAUGUCUUCAAUCUUUGCCAUUAAUUACCCAAGUACAUUCAUACAAACACUUUUCCAUUGUUGUUAUUCAAUAGUACUUGAAAAUUAUAAUAGUCACAUAAAAGUUCAUUCUAGUAAUAUAUUUAAUGCCUUUUCACAUUCAUUACUUAUGAUGCAUACUACUGCCUGGACACAUUCCUGUGUGACCUAAUCUAGGUGUUCCUGCUAAAGCGGGGGGAUUGGACUAGAAGAUCUUCUGAGGUUCCUUCCAGUUCCUGACAUUCUGUGAUUUUGUGAUUCUGUAAUUGGUAUGAAGAAGAGACAGCAGCUAUUAAAAUGAAGACUUGGUAAAAAAAAUACUCUUUUCACUUCUUAGCCAGGAUUCUGGCAUCUAUUUUUUAAAAAAUAAAUAAUACAGAUAUUUUUAGCUCAGCUGUCCUUUCCUUGCCUUGCCUUCCUUGCCUUGCCUUCCUUUCCCUUGCCUUCCUUUUCCCUCGCCCUGCCUCUCCUCUCCUCUCCUCUCCUCUCCUCUCCUCUCCUCUCCUCUCCUCUCCUCUCCUCUCCUCUCCUCUCCUC